AGAAAAUACUACUGGUAUUACGCAUUGCCUUUUCAUACCGCCCAGUGCCGAUUUGUUCAUUUCGUUAUAAUUCGCAUACCGCCCAUUGGGUGUGAUCAACUCCGCACAUAUGCAUUGCAAUUGAAGCCAAAGGACAGGUUUAAUUGGACCCAGGGUUAACAGAACUGAAUUCCCAUCGAGCAUGGCAUCGAUUAUGGAUAUCCAGUGGUCGGACAGAAGUUACAGUACCAAAGAAGUCAUCGAGCAUUUCCGACUGCCGAAAAUAUUCAAAGUAACGAAAGGACUAUACGGCACAGAAGACACUGAGACAUUGGGCAAUUUACAGGUCGUCCGUCUUCAUCGACAGCACAGACAGCGACGCGUGAUAGCAACCGACGAUAGAGGGCGGCAUUUCAGUAUCCCCGUCGAUUACGACAUUCCAUUUGAAAUAUUACCUGUUAGUUUACCGA